CCCUUAGAUGUCCUGGGCCGCCCGCGCGCUACACUGAACGGAUCAGCGCGUUUUCCCUUCCCGAGAGGGACGGGUAACCUGCUGAACCCCGUUCGUGGUAGGGAUCGGGGCUUGCAAUUAUUCCCCGUGAACCAGGAAUGCCCAGUAAGUGCAAGUCAUAAGCUUGCGUUGAUUACGUCCCUGCCCUUUGUACACACCGCCCGUCGCUACUACCGAUUGAACGUUUUAGUGAGGUACUCGGACUGAGCCUCAGAAGAUUCACGUCUUUUGUGCUGCUCGGGAAGAUUCCCAAACUUGAGCGUUUAGAGGAAGUAAAAGUCGUAACA
rnacentral:rRNA from 1 species